CGUAGGGCGCGAGCGUUGUCCGGAAUUAUUGGGCGUAAAGAGCUCGUAGGCGGUUUGUCGCGUCUGCUGUGAAAGCCCGGGGCUUAACCCCGUGGUGUGCAGUGGGUACGGGCAGACUAGAGUGCAGUAGGGGAGACUGGAAUUCCUGGUGUAGCGGUGAAAUGCGCAGAUAUCAGGAGGAACACCGAUGGCGAAGGCAGGUCUCUGGGCUGUUACUGACGCUGAGGAGCGAAAGCAUGGGGAGCGAACAGGAUUAGAUACCCUGGUAGUCCAUGCCGUAAACGUUGGGCACUAGGUGUGGGGGACAUUCCACGUUUUCCGCGCCGUAGCUAACGCAUUAAGUGCCCCGCCUGGGGAGUACGGCCGCAAGGCUAAAACUCAAAGGAAUUGACGGGGGCCCGCACAAGCGGCGGAGCAUGCGGAUUAAUUCGAUGCAACGCGAAGAACCUUACCAAGGCUUGACAUACACCAGACCGGCCCAGAGAUGGGUUUUCCUCUUUGAGGUUGGUGUACAGGUGGCGCAUGGUUGUCGUCAGCUCGUGUCGUGAGAUGUUGGGUUAAGUCCCGCAACGAGCGCAACCCUCGUUCUAUGUUGCCAGCACGUGAUGGUGGGGACUCAUAGGAGACUGCCGGGGUCAACUCGGAGGAAGGUGGGGAUGACGUCAAAUCAUCGUGCCCCUUAUGUCUUGGGCUUCACGCAUGCUACAAUGGCCGGUACAAUGGGUUGCGAUACCGUGAGGUGGAGCUAAUCCCAAAAAGCUGGUCUCAGUUCGGAUCGUGGUCUGCAACUCGACCACGUGAAGUCGGAGUCGCUAGUAAUCGCAGAUCAGCACGCUGCGGUGAUACGUUCCCG
rnacentral:rRNA from 1 species